GUUAAUGACUGUUCAUGAAGGUGACGGAAGUGCGUUACGGUUUAAAGAAGGCUGCUUGGGUAAUAAAGGACACAGGGGGAGCUGUCCGUUGGCCUGGGUGCUGAAAUAUAAUUCCAAGUCGUUGUGUCCAAUAGUAUAACAUUUGAAAGUAAUGUAAGGCCGUGUCUAAAGAGGAAUUAAUGAUUGGAAAACGUUUGUGUAGCCUAUGAAGCAAAGGAGGAAAACAUGGGAUUAUAUCACAUCGAGAGUUCCUUUGACGAAGACAUUUGGUUGAGGACUAUCCUUCCCUAAACUAUAUUCAGCAGUCCACCAGCCUGAUGCAUUGGGGACCAUAGAGUGAACCAAGAUGCCUAAGAUCAGCACGGAGCAGUCUUAUCCCAGCCACGGCCGCUGUUCGGUAAACACCCCAGACAACCUGGACCAGAUUGAGAGUGGCAGCAGCCAUGAGGACCAACUAGACCCCUCCUUCACGGGGACAGGAGGCAUGUCCAGGUCAGUGCAGAUGUCUUUUUUCCAUAUAAUUAUUUACAUUUAUGCUCAUUUUGAGGACUACAAUGAAAAUAAGUC
rnacentral:lncRNA from 1 species